GGAGAAAUGGCAGAGUGGUCUAUCGCACUGAUUUGCUAAAUCAGCAUACUUGUAAAAAUGUAUCAAGGGUUCGAAUCCCUUUUUCUCCG
rnacentral:tRNA from 1 species